GCAUAUCAAUAAGCGGAGGAAAAGAAGCUAACAAGGAUUCCCUUAGUAACGGCGAGUGAAGCGGGAAGAGCUCAAAUUUGAAAUCUUCAAGGUUCUACCUUGACGAAUUGUAGUUUAAAGAAGUGUUUUCUGUUAGAUGAGUAGCAAAAGUUCCUUGGAAUGGGACAUCAUAGAGGGUGAGAAUCCCGUAUUUGGUUAUUCAUUCUAGCUUUGUGAUACACUUUCAAAGAGUCGGAUUGUUUGGGAAUGCAGUCCAAAAUGGGUGGUAAAUUUCAUCUAAAGCUAAAUAUUGGCGAGAGACCGAUAGCGAACAAGUACCGUGAGGGAAAGAUGAAAAGAACUUUGAAAAGAGAGUUAAACAGUACGUGAAAUUGUCAAAAGGGAAGCGUUUGACACCAGUGUUGUUUUUCCGAAAAUCAAUUACGAAUGGCUUGAUUUUGUGUUGUAUUGACCUUAUCAGCUUUCUGCACUUUUUUCGAGUCUUUCUUAAUGCACUUUUCGGUUAACAAGUCAACAUCAAUUUCUUUUGUUGUAAAAGAGUAUUCGGAAGGUGGCUUUCUUUUCGGAGAAAGUGUUUAUAGCCCUAUACUUCUACAAUCGGAGAGAUUGAGGUCUGCAGCGUAGAUCCUUCGGGGUUAGAUACACUUGUGCUAAGUUGUAGCUUUUCAUAGACAACUUGUUGACUAUGUUUAGUCAUGCGGCUUACUCGCUUGUGCUAUUUUACCUACGCUUAGGAUGUUGACAAAAUGGUUUUAAACGACCCGUCUUGAAACACGGACC
rnacentral:rRNA from 1 species